UACGUAGGGGGCUAGCGUUGUCCGGAUUUAUUGGGCGUAAAGAGCGUGUAGGCGGCCAUGUAGGUCCGGUGUGAAAACUCGAGGCUUAACCUCGAGAUGUCAUCGGAAACCAUUUGGCUAGAGUCCGGAAGAGGAGAGUGGAAUUCCUGGUGUAGCGGUGAAAUGCGCAGAUAUUAGGAAGAACACCAGUGGCGAAGGCGGCUCACUGGUCCGGUACUGACGCUGAGGUGCGAAAGCGUGGGGAGCAAACAGG
rnacentral:rRNA from 1 species